AGGAUGAACGCUAGCUACAGGCUUAACACAUGCAAGUCGAGGGGCAUCAGGAAGAAAGCUUGCUUUCUUUGCUGGCGACCGGCGCACGGGUGAGUAACACGUAUCCAACCUGCCCUUUACUCGGGGAUAGCCUUUCGAAAGAAGGAUUAAUACCCGAUGGCAUAAUGAUUCCGCAUGGUUUCAUUAUUAAAGGAUUCCGGUAAAGGAUGGGGAUGCGUUCCAUUAGGUUGUUGGUGGGGUAACGGCCCACCAAGCCUUCGAUGGAUAGGGGUUCUGAGAGGAAGGUCCCCCACAUUGGAACUGAGACACGGUCCAAACUCCUACGGGAGGCAGCAGUGAGGAAUAUUGGUCAAUGGGCGCUAGCCUGAACCAGCCAAGUAGCGUGAAGGAUGAAGGCUCUAUGGGUCGUAAACUUCUUUUAUAUAAGAAUAAAGUGCAGUAUGUAUACUGUUUUGUAUGUAUUAUAUGAAUAAGGAUCGGCUAACUCCGUGCCAGCAGCCGCGGUAAUACGGAGGAUCCGAGCGUUAUCCGGAUUUAUUGGGUUUAAAGGGAGCGUAGGUGGACUGGUAAGUCAGUUGUGAAAGUUUGCGGCUCAACCGUAAAAUUGCAGUUGAUACUGCCAGUCUUGAGUACAGUAGAGGUGGGCGGAAUUCGUGGUGUAGCGGUGAAAUGCUUAGAUAUCACGAAGAACUCCGAUUGCGAAGGCAGCUCACUGGACUGCAACUGACACUGAUGCUCGAAAGUGUGGGUAUCAAACAGGAUUAGAUACCCUGGUAGUCCACACAGUAAACGAUGAAUACUCGCUGUUUGCGAUAUACAGUAAGCGGCCAAGCGAAAGCAUUAAGUAUUCCACCUGGGGAGUACGCCGGCAACGGUGAAACUCAAAGGAAUUGACGGGGGCCCGCACAAGCGGAGGAACAUGUGGUUUAAUUCGAUGAUACGCGAGGAACCUUACCCGGGCUUAAAUUGCAGUGGAAUGAUGUGGAAACAUGUCAGUGAGCAAUCACCGCUGUGAAGGUGCUGCAUGGUUGUCGUCAGCUCGUGCCGUGAGGUGUCGGCUUAAGUGCCAUAACGAGCGCAACCCUUAUCUUUAGUUACUAACAGGUCAUGCUGAGGACUCUAGAGAGACUGCCGUCGUAAGAUGUGAGGAAGGUGGGGAUGACGUCAAAUCAGCACGGCCCUUACGUCCGGGGCUACACACGUGUUACAAUGGGGGGUACAGAAGGCAGCUAGCGGGUGACCGUAUGCUAAUCCCAAAAUCCUCUCUCAGUUCGGAUCGAAGUCUGCAACCCGACUUCGUGAAGCUGGAUUCGCUAGUAAUCGCGCAUCAGCCACGGCGCGGUGAAUACGUUCCCGGGCCUUGUACACACCGCCCGUCAAGCCAUGGGAGCCGGGGGUACCUGAAGUACGUAACCGCAAGGAUCGUCCUAGGGUAAAACUGGUGACUGGGGCUA
rnacentral:rRNA from 1 species